GACGAACGCUGGCGGCGUGCUUAACACAUGCAAGUCGAACGGAAAGGCCCUGCUUUUGUGGGGUGCUCGAGUGGCGAACGGGUGAGUAACACGUGAGUAACCUGCCCUUGACUUUGGGAUAACUUCAGGAAACUGGGGCUAAUACCGGAUAGGAGCUCCUGCUGCAUGGUGGGGGUUGGAAAGUUUCGGCGGUUGGGGAUGGACUCGCGGCUUAUCGGCUUGUUGGUGGGGUAGUGGCUUACCAAGGCUGUGACGGGUAGCCGGCCUGAGAGGGUGACCGGCCACAUUGGGCCUGAGAUACGGCGCAGACUCCUACGGGAGGCAGCAGUGGGGAAUAUUGCACAAUGGGCGGAAGCCUGAUGCAGAAACGCCGCGUGCGGGAUGACGGCCUGCUGGUUGUAAACCGCUUUCGCCUGUGACGAAGCGUGAGUGACGGUAAUGGGUAAAGAAGCACCGGCUAACUACGUG
rnacentral:rRNA from 1 species